rnacentral:tRNA from 1 species
GGAGUUGUGGCUCAGCGGUAGAGUGCUCACCUAGCAUGUGCGAGGCACUGGGUUUGAUUCUCAUCACCA